rnacentral:rRNA from 1 species
GGGAACCCUGACGCAGCGGCGCCGCAAGACGGGACGGAGGCCUUCGGGUCGUAAACCGCUUUCAGCAGGGAAGAGUCAAGACUGUACCUGCAGAAGAAGCCCCGGCUAACUACGUGCCAGCAGCCGCGGUAAUACGUAGGGGGCGAGCGUUAUCCGGAUUCAUUGGGCGUAAAGCGCGCGUAGGCGGCCCGGCAGGCCGGGGGUCGAAGCGGGGGGCUCAACCCCCCGAAGCCCCCGGAACCUCCGCGGCUUGGGUCCGGUAGGGGAGGGUGGAACACCCGGUGUAGCGGUGGAAUGCGCAGAUAUCGGGUGGAACACCGGUGGCGAAGGCGGCCCUCUGGGCCGAGACCGACGCUGAGGCGCGAAAGCUGGGGGAGCGAACAGGAUUAGAUACCCUGGUAGUCCCAGCCGUAAACGAUGGACGCUAGGUGUGGGGGGGACGAUCCCCCCGUGCCGCAGCCAACGCAUUAAGCGUCCCGCCUGGGGAGUACGGCCGCAAGGCUAAAACUCAAAGGAAUUGACGGGGGCCCGCACAAGCAGCGGAGCAUGUGGCUUAAUUCGAAGCAACGCGAAGAACCUUACCAGGGCUUGACAUAUGGGUGAAGCGGGGGAGACCCCGUGGCCGAGAGGAGCCCAUACAGGUGGUGCAUGGCUGUCGUCAGCUUGUGUCGUGAGAUGUUGGGUUAAGUCCCGCAACGAGCGCAACCCCCGCCGCGUGUUGCCAUCGGGUGAUGCCGGGAACCCACGCGGGACCGCCGCCGUCAAGGCGGGGGAGGGCGGGGACGACGUCAGGUCAUCAUGCCCCUUAUGCCCUGGGCUGCACACGUGCUACAAUGGCCGGUACAGAGGGAUGCCACCCCGCGAGGGGGAGCGGAUCCCGGAAAGCCGGCCCCAGUUCGGAUUGGGGGCUGCAACCCGCCCCCAUGAAGUCGGAGUUGCUAGUAAUCGCGGAUCAGCAUGCCGCGGUGAAUGCGAAACCGGGCCUUGCACACACCGCCCGUCA